rnacentral:rRNA from 1 species
GUAGGUGGCAAGCGUUGUCCGGAAUUAUUGGGCGUAAAGCGCGCGCAGGCGGUUCUUUAAGUCUGAUGUGAAAGCCCACGGCUCAACCGUGGAGGGUCAUUGGAAACUGGAGAACUUGAGUACAGAAGAGGAAAGCGGAAUUCCACGUGUAGCGGUGAAAUGCGUAGAGAUGAGGAGGAACACCAGUGGCGAAGGCGACUUUCUGGUCUGUAACUGACGCUGAGGCGCGAAAGCGUGGGGGAGCAAACAGGAUUAGAUACCCUGGUAGUCCACGCCGUAAACGAUGAGUGCUAAGUGUUAGGGGGUUUCCGCCCCUUAGUGCUGCAGCUAACGCAUUAAGCACUCCGCCUGGGAGUACGGCCGCAAGGCUG